rnacentral:tRNA from 1 species
CACGUGUCUCGGGUUUCGAGGGCAGACCCGAGAUCUUUUUGAGAUCACUCUCUCAUGACCUCGUUCGAGACCAGGGGCAAGUGU